AUUGAACGCUGGCGGCAUGCCUUACACAUGCAAGUCGAACGGUAACGGGCCUUCGGGUGCCGACGAGUGGCGAACGGGUGAGUAAUGUAUCGGAACGUACCUUUCAGUGGGGGAUAACGUAGCGAAAGUUACGCUAAUACCGCAUAUUCUGUGAGCAGGAAAGCAGGGGAUCGCAAGACCUUGCGCUGAUUAAGCGGCCGAUAUCAGAUUAGCUAGUUGGUGAGGUAAAGGCUCACCAAGGCGACGAUCUGUAGCGGGUCUGAGAGGAUGAUCCGCCACACUGGAACUGAGACACGGUCCAGACUCCUACGGGAGGCAGCAGUGGGGAAUUUUGGACAAUGGGGGCAACCCUGAUCCAGCCAUGCCGCGUGAGUGAAGAAGGCCUUCGGGUUGUAAAGCUCUUUCGGUCCGGGAAGAAAUCGUAUGGGUUAAUACCCUGUGCGGAUGACGGUACCGGCAUAAGAAGCACCGGCUAACUACGUGCCAGCAGCCGCGGUAAAUACG
rnacentral:rRNA from 1 species